CUCUUAACAGCCUACAAGCAGGCAUGUGCUUACCAGCAAACUAAAGUAAAUGGAAAUCAAGAAGCAUAUUCACCACCAGCAAGGUGCUGCUGACCUAUAAGCCUUCAGAUGGUCAGAUAAAGUACCUGAUGCUGAAAAGCAGGAAAUUGAAUCGUGUCUCCAAAAUGUGCCUUUUGUCAUGCGCUGUUACAGCUACAUUUCUUGCUCUUUAGGCCUUAAUGAUUGACAUGAUUUUGGAGAUCAGUUGGUAUGUAGCAAAACGCUCCUAGAAACCUGGAAGAUGAGGCAAGAGGAAAACAUGGAGCCCUUUCUGCAUAAGCCUAUGAGAGAAGAAGAAUCACUUCAAUUUGUAAGUGUGGAUCCUGGGGGCUGAAAAACUUACCUAAGACCAUACAGCCAGCAAAUUACUGACCCAGCAUAUUCUGAACCCAAGUCUUUGUUCUUUCCAAGACUUCACAGUGUCUUCCUUAGAGUAUAUCUGCAUGAAAAUCAUGUUUAAAGAAGUGAUCUGUGGUGUCACCAUUUGUAUCAAAAUGAUAUCACAAACUUAUUUAAAAGUCUUUAUCUAAAAGUCUUCCUAACAGUUAUAUCUUUGGCCAGGGGAGACCUCUAAUAUCACACAUUAAUAACCCUACCUUUGUAACAUGUAAAUUGUUUUUUGUUUUACCAUCUCAGUUUCAUUAUACUGAGACCA